CAGCACCGCGGUAACACGAAGGGUGCAAGCGUUACUCGGAAUUACUGGGCGUAAAGCGUGCGUAGGUGGUGGUUUAAGUCCGUUGUGAAAGCCCUGGGCUCAACCUGGGAAUUGCAGUGGAUACUGGGUCACUAGAGUGUGGUAGAGGAUAGUGGAAUUUCCGGUGUAGCAGUGAAAUGCGUAGAGAUCGGAAGGAACAUCUGUGGCGAAGGCGACUAUCUGGGCCAACACUGACACUGAGGCACGAAAGCGUGGGGAGCAAACAGGAUUAGAUACCCGUGUAGUCCCUGUCUCUUAUACC
rnacentral:rRNA from 1 species